rnacentral:hammerhead_ribozyme from 1 species
AUCCAGCUGACAAGUCCCGAAUAGAACGAAACGCGCAUCCUGCAU